GGCAGUUCUUGGGUGAUGCAGCUGGACUCAGGCUCCCUCCUCUCUGGUUCCGGGUGCGUCACCCAAGAACCGCC
rfam:Myotis lucifugus cont2.39506, whole genome shotgun sequence.